rnacentral:rRNA from 1 species
UACGUAGGGGGCUAGCGUUGCUCGGAAUCACUGGGCGUAAAGCGCACGUAGGCGGCUCUUUAAGUCAGAGGUGAAAUCCUGGGGCUCAACCCCAGAACUGCCUUUGAUACUGAGGAGCUUGAGUCCGGGAGAGGUGAGUGGAACUGCGAGUGUAGAGGUGAAAUUCGUAGAUAUUCGCAAGAACACCAGUGGCGAAGGCGGCUCACUGGCCCGGUACUGACGCUGAGGUGCGAAAGCGUGGGGAGCAAACAGG